rnacentral:rRNA from 1 species
AAUAUUGCACAAUGGGGAAACCCUGAUGCAGCAACGCCGCGUGAGCGAUGAAGGCUUCGGGUCGUAAAGCUCUGUCCUAAGGGAAGAUAAUGACGGUACCUUAGGAGGAAGCCCCGGCUAACUACGUGCCAGCAGCCGCGGUAAUACGUAGGGGGCAAGCGUUAUCCGGAAUAACUGGGCGUAAAGGGUGCGUAGGCGGYCUUUGCAAGUCAGAAGUGAAAGGCUACGGCUCAACCGUAGUAAGCUUUUGAAACUGUAGGGCUUGAGUGCAGGAGAGGAGAGUAGAAUUCCUAGUGUAGCGGUGAAAUGCGUAGAUAUUAGGAGGAAUACCAGUUGCGAAGGCGGSUCUCUGGACUGUAACUCGACGCUGAGGCACGAAAGCGUGGGGAGUGAACAGGAUUAGAUACCCUGGUAGUCCACUCCGUAAACGAUGAGUGCUAGGUGUCGGGUUNWCCCCCCUCGGUGCYGCAGUAACGCAUUAAGCACUCC